rnacentral:rRNA from 1 species
UAGGGAAUCUUCGGCAAUGGACGAAAGUCUGACCGAGCAACGCCGCGUGAGUGAAGAAGGUUUUCGGAUCGUAAAACUCUGUUGUUAGAGAAGAACAAGGACGUUAGUAACUGAACGUCCCCUGACGGUAUCUAACCAGAAAGCCACGGCUAACUACGUGCCAGCAGCCGCGGUAAUACGUAGGUGGCAAGCGUUGUCCGGAUUUAUUGGGCGUAAAGCGAGCGCAGGCGGUUUCUUAAGUCUGAUGUGAAAGCCCCCGGCUCAACCGGGGAGGGUCAUUGGAAACUGGGAGACUUGAGUGCAGAAGAGGAGAGUGGAAUUCCAUGUGUAGCGAUGAAAUGCGUAGAUAGAUGGAGGAACACCAGUGGCGAAGGCGGCUCUCUGGUCUGUAACUGACGCUGAGGCUCGAAAGCGUGGGGAGCAAACAGG